rnacentral:rRNA from 1 species
GACAGAGGUCCCGAGCGUUAGGCGGAAUCACUGGGCUUAAAGCGUGUGUAGGCGGACGCCUAAGUACCUUGUGAAAUCCCACGGCUCAACCGUGGAACUGCUCGGUAUGCUGGGUGUCUUGAGCCACUUAGGGGCUACCGGAACAAAUGGUGGAGCGGUGAAAUGCGUAGAUAUCAUUUGGAACGCCAAUGGUGAAAACAGGUAGCUGGGAGUGUGCUGACGCUGAGACACGAAAGCCAGGGGAGCAAACGGG